UACGUAGGGGGCAAGCGUUAUCCGGAUUUACUGGGUGUAAAGGGAGCGCAGACGGCGCGCCAAGUCUGAUGUGAAAGGCGAGGGCUUAACCCUGGGACUGCAUUGGAAACUGGCGGAGCUGGAGUGCCGGAGAGGCAGGCGGAAUUCCUAGUGUAGCGGUGAAAUGCGUAGAUAUUAGGAGGAACACCAGUGGCGAAGGCGGCCUGCUGGACGGUAACUGACGUUGAGGCUCGAAAGCGUGGGGA
rnacentral:rRNA from 1 species